AUUGAACGCUGGCGGCAUGCCUUACACAUGCAAGUCGAACGGUAACGGGCCUUCGGGUGCCGACGAGUGGCGAACGGGUGAGUAAUGCAUCGGAACGUACCUUUCAGUGGGGGAUAACGUAGCGACAGUUACGCUAAUACCGCAUAUUCUGUGCGCAGGAAAGCAGGGGAUCGCAUGACCUUGCGCGUCUUGCGCGGCCGAUGUCAGAUUAGAUAGUUGGUGAGGUAAAGGCUAACCAAGGCGACGAUCUGUAGCGGGUCUGAGAGGAUGAUCCGCCACACUGGAACUGAGACACGGUCCAGACUCCUACGGGAGGCAGCAGUUGGGAAUUUUGGACAAUGGGGGCAACCCUGAUCCAGCCAUGCCGCGUGAGUGAAGAAGGCCUUCGGGUUGUAAAGCUCUUUCGGCCGGGAAGAAAUCGUAUGGGCUAAUACCCUGUGCGGAUGACGGUACCGGCAUAAGAAGCACCGGCUAACUACGUGCCAGCCGCCGCAGUAACAC
rnacentral:rRNA from 1 species